rnacentral:lncRNA from 1 species
AUAUGCAACAGAUGCAUUCCAUUUUGAAGUUCACUUUAAAAUGCUAAAAGAUUAAAGUGCCACUCUAAAGUCUUUUUAAGAGCCAGCCCUGCCAUGCCCAUGUCGAGGUGUCCUUGCAGGAUGGUGACAGAACAUCAAGACUCAUAAGAGAGCAGAACAGAGUCAAGUACAGAUAUGACUUUUCCUCAAUGACUGCUCAAUGAUAGUCAUCUGACCUAGUUUUAUGAUAUGGAUUAAAGUAAAUCCCAUAAUGGUAAUGGCUGUUAUAAUUGUUAUGUGACAUACGGUCCAAGAGGUCUAUCCCAAAGUGAAAGUUAUAUAUACAUCACAUUUGCAGCAGGAGAUACACAAGAGCAUAGACACUACUGUGCGUAGGAGCGAUGACACAAAGACAACUGUGUGGGAUGGAGGCUGGCACACGGUCAUCUGUUUUGGUUUCAAUU